ACAGACACGAUAUUUUUAUCUCGAUACGAUGAUAGCAAAAAUAAUAUAGAUUUCUUAUCGCAUUCUUAUUUUAUAUAACUGAUAACUCGUCGAGAGUAAUAUAUUCGCGAAUCCAAGCUAAACGUUUGAAAUUGGAAAAUAAAAACGUACAUGUAAAAAAUUUAAAAUCGACUCGAUAAUUUAAAUACUUCGAGUAUAUAACUAUAUGAAUAAUUUAUACAUUUAAAAACAAUUUUAACAAAAAACAAAUAAAUAAUGAAAUACGGUUCAGACAUAGGCAUACGAUCACCAGCAUAAUGAGCAUAAUUUACAGGCAUAAAUAUAUCACACGAUUCUCGUCGUUUAGAAUAACGUGGGAAUUGGCGGAAUCGGAGAAACCGGAGAACUCUAUACACUCGGACUAAUGAUCGGCAAUUAGAGAAAGGACCGACGACGAUCAUGACGAGAGUGCAAAGUUGGUCUGAGGUGAACCGCAGAGCCCGCGACUUCUCUAAAUAAAGAAGAA